UAACGCGAAGAACCUUACCAGGUCUUGACAUACUAUACAAAUCUAAGAGAUUAGACGUUCCCUUCGGGGACAUGGAUACAGGUGGUGCAUGGUUGUCGUCAGCUCGUGUCGUGAGAUGUUGGGUUAAGUCCCGCAACGAGCGCAACCCUUAUUAUCAGUUGCCAGCAUUAAGUUGGGCACUCUGGUGAGACUGCCGGUGACAAACCGGAGGAAGGUGGGGAUGACGUCAAAUCAUCAUGCCCCUUAUGACCUGGGCUACACACGUGCUACAAUGGAUGGUACAACGAGUUGCGAACUCGCGAGAGUAAGCUAAUCUCUUAAAGCCAUUCUCAGUUCGGAUUGUAGGCUGUAACUCGCCUACAUGAAGUCGGAAUCGCUAGUAAUCGCGGAUCAGC
rnacentral:rRNA from 1 species